rnacentral:tRNA from 1 species
UCCCGGAUGGCGCAGUGGUUAACGCACCUGCCUAAUAAGCAGAAGAUCACGGGUUCGAAUCCCGCUCCGGUAC